UACGGGGGGGGCAAGCGUUGUUCGGAAUUACUGGGCGUAAAGGGCUCGUAGGCGGCCAACUAAGUCAGACGUGAAAUCCCUCGGCUUAACCGGGGAACUGCGUCUGAUACUGGAUGGCUUGAGUUCGGGAGAGGGAUGCGGAAUUCCAGGUGUAGCGGUGAAAUGCGUAGAUAUCUGGAGGAACACCGGUGGCGAAGGCGGCAUCCUGGACCGAUACUGACGCUGAGGAGCGAAAGCCAGGGGAGCAAACAGG
rnacentral:rRNA from 1 species